UGCAGGCUCAGGAAGGCGGGGCGGAAGACGGGAAGAAUGAGACGGAUUGACGGAACGAGUAGCCAAUGAGAGGCUUGAUUCAGACCGUGCCAGACCGCCGGAGGACCUGUCCUGGAGGGGAAAUGGGGCUGCGUCCAGUCCUCCAGUGAAGUGCUUUGUCAUCACUGCUGCUGUCGUCUCCUGCUCCAGACUCCAAGCACGUCGUUGAAAGGCCUCUCUUCAUUGGUUGUAGAACUGGAGCACCCCACCAGGAACAGGGUUUGCUCAGCGCAUGCGCACUUUCAAGGCUCGAACCACUUCUGCAGACACCGACCACUGUUCCUGUGCUCAGGACUCGCCUUGAAGGAGUUGCUCCAAAUCCUCUCACACAGGAGGACAUAUCUCUUAUUCCUGCUAGUGUUCUGGAGCUCAGAUUCUCAGUAAUAGGGCAUUGCAUGGGUGUGCCUCCUGCCUUCCUGGCCCCAUCUUCCCACCUGCUGGAUCCAAGGCCCCAGGUUUGGGGAGCACUCGUAGAAGCAGACAGCCUGGAUGAAGUGCCUCUGACAGCCCGGCAUCAUCAAUCCACAGUGGACCAAGCUGAAGUUGUAGAGCAAGGACACAUUCAGGUGGGCUUUCCAGCUGGUGUUGGCUGUACAGCAGGCACUGUCCUUCCAGGGGAUGCACUGAAGGUGGAGGAAGAAGCCAAAGGCAUGGGGGGCGGGGAUAAGAGGCAGGAGGUUGAUGAGUGUCUAGGGCACAAAGGUAGAAAUGUCCCCUGCAACAGCACCUGGAGGAGUGGGUUGCCUUUAGGCUAGCAACCCCCUGUAUAACUUGUCAACUGCAUGCUGACUGACCUCCCUGCCACAGUGCCCUAGAAAUGUGACUUCCAGGAUCUCAGCUCCUGAGAGGCAGCAGAGAAGCCUCAUGAGACCUAGGGGAAGGGGGGGUUGCACUGGGUGGGAGGGCACUGUAGCUGAGAAGGGCACACAGGUACAUGCCCGCUCUGCUCUUCCUUCCUUAUCCCUGUCAAUUGCCUUUAGGAGCUUGGGGAGAGGUCACUUAAGCCAUGUGUUUCCCCGGGGCCUGUCGGUAGGAAGGGUAGAGAAGGAGGACCUUGUUUGUUUGAAUCUGUGCUGACCCAGCAAUGGGCCUCUGGGGGUCACCAUCUGCCCCUGCUCCCUGAGUAGCAGGGCAGCUCCAAGAUGGGAACUUUGAAUCACUUGGCAAUUAUGGUCUCAAAAGUUCAUAAUCCCCUCCAGUGGCCUGUGCCCAAAUUCCAACCUAAGGAACCAAAUGAGUCAGGGUUGACGGGGGUUCAGAAACCACCUUGGCAUUUGUGUCCCUUCCAUGAUCUGCCAAAGCAGCCCCCCUCCCACCUCUAGCCCAGGUCUGGCCUCUGUACCUCCUUGUGGAGCUUGUCUUCUGGGCCAGGUUCUCGCUUGUGGUGCUGGGUGUUCAUGCAGACAUUGAGCAGCUUGUCCCCAGCCCAGAUGGGCAUGACUGUCCACAGCCCUAGCAGGAGCUGCCACCACCAUGCCAUGGCCUACUGCAGAGAGGAGACCCACCUGCUCAUGUGACAGAGAAGACACCCCCCUACUCCAUUGCCUCCACUAUCGCAGAGAGCAAGUCUGGACUUAAAGGCUCCCUCAAGUGACCAUGACACUCCUACAUGGCUACUCCUAGGACCUCCAUUUGAGGUAGCAUCAUAAAAUGUCAGGGCACGUGGCAUAAACCUUGUGGGUCUGAUACCUGCUCCCAACAAUUGUGCAGAUGCUGAAACUGAAGCCUGGGGAGGGGAGGAAACCAGCCCGAAGGUGAAGUUCAAGGGGAGAACAGUUCCGGCCUUCCCUGGGGGAGCUUUUCCUGGCCCUUCUCCACUUGGAGGCAGCCUUUCCAACUGAACUACUUAUGGCCUGGGAACUCAGAGCUUUGAUCCUCGUCCACAGUGAGCCCUCAAAUGCUGGCUGAGUGACUGAACAAAUGCUCAGUAACCAGAUUCUACCCGGGGCAAAGGGCAUGGUGGGGCUGCAUAGUGUGACAAACGCAAUUCUUACCCCCUCGAGUGCCAACCCUAACUUCAGCUUCUCUGAGGGGUCCAUGAAGGGCCCACAGCUCCCCAAGCAGCUGGUCCCCUCCCAAGUCCCUUCUAGCCCGUCCUUCACCCUAGGGCAGUGAUUUACUUCCAUCAGCCCCAAUGCAUUUCAAACCAGCCUGAGCACAAGCUGGGGCAGCUGUGCACCCAGUGGCCCUGCUGGCAUCUCAGACCAGGGAUCAUGCCCGGGCAUGAGUCAGGUGUGAGAGCCUUCCACAUCCAAAACCCGAUACCUGUUACGGGAAUGAGACUAGCUUUUCCCCUGGUGUUUGUUGACUGCUGUUUCCAGCUCUGGUCUGGGUAGUACUGGUAAUGGGAGGGAGUGGAGAGACCACAAAAAAGGCAGAAGAGCUCCCUGCCUCAAGCACCUAACCCCUUAGCUAACAGGGCUCCCUCAGCCUUCAUCCACCCAGGAGCUCUUGGCUUCCCCAGGCCUUGCAGGAACCGGCCAUGGACGAAAACUUCCGGCCUAGUCUGAGUUUAGAGACCCCAGCCCCACCUCCCGAGCUUAUCCUUGUGUCUAAACCUAAGGCUGCUCUCUCUCCUGAGCACCAGUUUCAAGCACAGACAUGGCCCUCAAGUGUUUUUAAAGAAACAGGUACGUCUGGUGAAAAGAAGAAAGAUGCUGCCCCUUCUAGCGUUUUCUUCAUACUCACUUUAAAAGCAGGAGCUGCUCCCUCCCAGCUGCAGAGAUUGUGAGGCUGAGGAGAUUGUAGAGGCUGCCCAUUUAUCACACACUCAGUUCCUCCUAGGUCCAGGUGCACAUGCAGAACUCCAGGUGUCUCCAGUUAAAAGCAUCCCUCUUACCCAAGUGUAGAGGCCUCCUGGGGGAGGAGCCAAGAGGGUUUUGCUUUCUCAGAGAAAGAGAGGCCCCAAAGUGGGUAAGAUCCUGGCUCCUUAGUCAGUCACUGGGUUCUGCUACUUGCUGGCUGGAUGACCUUGAAAAAAUGGCUUAAACUCUAUGUCAGUUUCCCUAUCUAUAUAAAGAACUCUUACGAAGGGAUUGUUGGGAAAAAGAAAUGAAAGAGAAAGUUCAGGAAAAGGACUUCGCAUCGUGCCUGGCACAGAGUAAGUCUUAAUGUUUUCAUUCUUAUCCUUUUGUUCUGUGAAGGCCUCUCAGCCCUGUUCCUCAGCUUCUGCCAGCCCCUUCAUUAGCACGGUUACCUGGGGUGGACCACCUGGUGGUCCGAGUAACAGUGACCUCUCUCAGCCCUCUGGAGCUAAGUUUCCUGAUGGGGAGCAGACCCAGCCUCACAGAGAUGCCAAGAUAAAGCCAGGCCUUGGGGACCCAAGAAUUCAAAUGUAUGACCAAAGCCAAAAUAAACAAAAAAAGUCCCUCCACAACCUGGGAACCAGCUCCCCUCAGCAUAUCAGUGUUCUCAGGAGUGAUAUUCACAAGAGCGUCCUUCUCAGCUAAGGAGAGGCUGGGAGACUGGACAGGACUCUUAAGAAAGAGUUCCAAAGAUGAUGAAAACAAUGGAGAAGGAGCCCAUCUCUUUGCCUGUUUCUUGUAAUAAGCUCUCCAAAGGAGAAGUAGCCAACGUCACUGAAGUUUCAUCGAUACAUAGGAAAUUAAAACAAAACAAUAAAAGCAUUAAAUAAAAGUCAAAUGCCAUAA